rnacentral:lncRNA from 1 species
AAAAAAAUCCACCCGUUGUAAGUUUUAACAGUUACUAAUUAAUUCUCCUGCAAUCUGCAGCUAUUUUUGCCCGUAACGCACAAUAGCAGCAGUGGCAACACAUUUAUUUCAGGUCAGCGGGUUUUGCCUAUAACUCAUAGCCAUGGCAACAACAACAUAUUUGUUUCAAAUCAUAACAUCACAUCUAAAAUCAUAAUACAACAUCCAAAAAAAUAGAUUUAUCUAACAUUUCUAUAAAAAUAUACUUUCACUACUGCAUACAAAUAUACAAUUAACUCUGCAUUAAAAGUUAGAUUAGUAGCUAAAUUUGGGUGGAUUUUUUGUUGAAACCAAUAAAUCUAAGACAAACUAAUUUCAACUAAUAUGAUUGUUUUUUCGUUGAUAGCUACACAAGUGUUUUUUAAAAAUAUAUGCAUACAUACUGUGGAGAGGACGAUGUGAAUCAAGUUAGCGACAACAGUUAUUUUUUUUAUAAUUAAGAAGAUUGGGUUAGGUCUUGAGCAAUAAAUGAUUGUCAAUAACUUAUUUUAUGUAUUUUUAUAAUUAAAUAUUUUUAGUGUAAUUUUAAUAAUUUAAAUUUAUAAAAAAAUAAAGUUAUGGGUUACUAGAUACCCACACAAUUUUUUUGUUAAUACAAAACCCACCGAUAACCCAGAGCGGAUUUAAAUUUAUUAUAGUAAACCCCCAUGCAACCCACAAAAUUACCUAUAGCAGGCAGCUUUUGAUGGACAAGUUUGGAUAAAUUUACAGGUAACAUUGUCAUCCCUACAACUAAAAUCCAAAUGCUAUUGACCUUGCCAACUUCAUGAUAAAGCCUCGAAAUAACACAUUUAUUCAAGAUGACAUCAAUUGUUGUAUGAAUUUCCUUGGUCAUCAUGAUAUGUCAUUUGGAAGAACUUAACUAAUAGAAAUUUGACCAAUCUAUUUAUUAUGUCUCACAUACAAAACUAUUUGUGUUAUACAAGUGUUAUAGUUGCAAGUAUGCUAAGAUAGAACCUUAGCAUUAUUUAUAAAUUUAUAAGUAUAUUUAACUCAAUGUCCAUUAUUAAAUAUCUUGAACAUAUGAAAGGGGAUGUCUUUACUAUAUAUUUUUUUUGUAUUUUCAUUGUGAUGACUAAACAAAAUAGGACGGAUUGUCAAAGUUCACAAGUACUUCUUGGCGGAAUGAGGGAAGUAUGCUAGGUUGUGCAUUGAAAUGCAUUUAAAGCUACUCAUUUCCCAUUAAGUACAUCUUUGGGUUUGACUUAAGAUUUUCUUUAUUGGAUUUGGUUUAUCGCAUUUUUUUUAAUUUAGUUAGUUCAUUAAUUUCAUUAAUUAUUUUAUUUUAAUUAAAUUGAAAUUGCAUUGUUAAGAUUGUUGAAACAAAUCUUAUAACAUCAAUCACUGUGGAGACGAUUUGAAUAUUCAUCAUUAUAUUACUUGUUGUGUACACUUGCACACUGAUACCUUUAGCAAUAAGCAAACCAACACUACCAUUUCAACAACUAUUCACACAUAAGAAAAAUAGUCUAUUUUGUGUCUGUUCGUAUGAAAAAUGCACCAACAAAGUUGUAGGAAAGGCUGGAGAGGUCACAACCAUCUUACUUAAAACUUAGACUCCUUAGACAAUGAUAGCUUUGUUAGCAGAAAUUUCCUGGACAUGCACUUAUCUACAUAACAAUACUACAUGCUUUUGAUAUACCCAAGUAGUAACUGUUGGCUCCAUCGUAUUUGUGAACAGUACCAUAUAUGUGAAUAAUAUUAUAUACACGAAUAUUAUCAUAUACGUGAACAAAACUGUAUACCUCAAGUACGAAUCGUCUGUUCCACUAUAUUCAUGAACAGUGCGUAUCGCAAGUAUGAAGUAUCGGCUCUGAUACCAAUUGUCUUGCUUUGAUACCACUUAUUGUGCUCUGGUACCGGUUGUUGCUCCCUAAUACCACUUGUGCUACAAAAGCGUCAUUUGUUGUGGUUUGAUACUACUUUUGCGCAAAUGCAGAAUUAAUACGCACCAAAUAUUUACAAAAAAAAUAAGCGAAACAAGAAUUUUACGUGAUUCGACAAUAAAAUACAUCCACGGAAACAAAAGAGAAUAAUUAUUUUACUAACAAUUAAUAGAUUACAAAUUAGAGUAAUUACCCAAAUAUAUCUAUUACUCUCACAUAUUUUGAAAGAAACAUUUUUCCUAAGACAAACAUUCUCUCACACCUCUACAAAUAACCCAACUGAGCAACCAAACAAACGCUCUCCCAAACUUUCUAAGAACUCACUUGCAGAUAAUCUCUUUCUCUGAAAUCUCUCAUUGAUAACUCUCUGAAUAUUCUCUCAGAGAGCUCUUCACCUAAGCUCUCUACUUUUUAGGAUACACUGAAUGAAAGAAGUGGCUUCAAUUUAUGGGGAAAACAAUUACAACCAAAUCCUUUAAUUGUUUUCAACCAUGUUGGCCACCGUUUCAUGAAAUAAGAAAAUCUCCAAAUAGCAUCCGUUUGGCCACCAAAGCUUUAAAUUUGGACACCAAAACAUUAAAUUUGUCGGAAAUUGCAUGUGGCUCCUUUCUUGACUCUUCAACGUCAAGAAAUUUUUUUAUUCUAAUUCAUAAAAACUCUUUUUAAUUUAUAGCUUAGAAUUGCGUAAAAGGAUAAAAAUAAAUUUAAUUAAAAUCAAACAUAAUUUCUUUUCGUCACUAACUCUUCACACACCAUCAAUUACU